rnacentral:rRNA from 1 species
GACGAACGCUGGCGGCGUGCUUAACACAUGCAAGUCGAACGGAAAGGCCUCUUUCGGGGGGUACUCGAGUGGCGAACGGGUGAGUAACACGUGAGUAACCUGCCCUUGACUUUGGGAUAACUUCAGGAAACUGGGGCUAAUACCGGAUAGGAGCUCCUGCUGCAUGGUGGGGGUUGGAAAGUUUCGGCGGUUGGGGAUGGACUCGCGGCUUAUCAGCUUGUUGGUGGGGUAGUGGCUUACCAAGGCUUUGACGGGUAGCCGGCCUGAGAGGGUGACCGGCCACGGUGUGAGUUAGAGACGGCACAGCCUCCGGCGGGAGGCAGGGGGAAUGAUUAUCGAUCAGUGGAAGCCUGAUGCAGCAACGCCGUGUGCGGGAUGACGGCCUUCGGGUUGUAAACCGCUUUCGCUCAUGACGAAGCUUUGUGUGACGGUAGUGGGUAAAGAAGCACCGGCUAACUACGUG